CUUUUACCCUAUUAAGAACAUUUAUUGGAUUUACCAGCAUGGAUGUACCACCAGCAUCGGAGCAUUUGCUUAUCGUGUUAAAGCAGGGCCCACCCCCUCACAUACGCAGAUCCUAAUAUGUGUAAUAUGUUUGGCGUGCAGCAGCUGCCUGGAGCUUUUGCCUGCCAAUACAGUUUCCAUGGCAAUUGCAGAGAAUCUUUCUCAGGUGGAGGGGCUGCUGCAGUCCAAUAGCAGGAUGUGUUUUUCUAAAUGGCUAUAGGGGUCUAUUGCGUAAUGCCAUUUUCCGGGAAAUUGAAAAAGAAGUCCUGUUGCUUCAUGCACAAGUCACUUGUGCAAUCAGGUGACACUGAGAGAACAUUGGAAGUUAAAAGUAAUGUUUUGCUGGUUUUGUCUUUUUUUUUUUUAUGCUCCAAGAGCAAUGCUGUGAACUCCUCAACUUUGAACUUUUCACUUAAAUCUGAUUUGUGAGAAUUUGGAACCUUGUUGUUCCUUGAUCAACAAGGAUGUGGAUGAAGUUGUGCUACUCUGUAAAAUGGCAGUCACAUUUGUUUAUCCAUAGUGCUUCGUCUUGAUCUAGCUGUGAAAUAAGGCAUAUCACAAAUACAUGUUGCACCAUUGCAUUGGCUAGAAUGAUUGAAUCACUUUGUACUUUGAAUGCCAGCUCCCCCUGGGCAUUAUAUUUGGUACUGCAUGUCCGUUGAACCUCCAACUGUGCAAGUAAAUGUCUAUAAAACAUUUUUUCUCUGUUCUUGGGAUGUCUGAGGCUCAGUUCAGUGUCCAUGGAGUUCCCUUUGUUACAUCUUCAGAUAUCAUUUGGUACUUUGGCUUUUUUGGAAACAGUUAAUAUCUUUCUUCAAAAAAGGGUCAACAUCGUUCAUCUACCAUCUUAGGUAUUUUAAAAUCUAUUUAUCUAUUUUGUCUGUUCUUGUUUGACACAUGAUAAGAGUGUGAAGAUGAAAAUCCUCUCAUCAUUUACUCACCCUCUUGUCAUUCCAAACCUGUGUGACUUUUU
ensembl:lncRNA